ACCGCGGUAGCUCAGCUGGUAGAGCAUCUGCUCGGUGAGCAGAGUAUCGCCGGUUCGAUUCCGAUUUGCGGCG
rnacentral:tRNA from 1 species